rnacentral:rRNA from 1 species
UACGGAGGGUGCAAGCGUUAUCCGGAUUCACUGGGUUUAAAGGGUGCGUAGGUGGGCAGGUAAGUCAGUGGUGAAAUCUCCGGGCUUAACCCGGAAACUGCCGUUGAUACUAUCUGUCUUGAAUUCUGUUGAGGUGGGCGGAAUAUGUCAUGUAGCGGUGAAAUGCAUAGAUAUGACAUAGAACACCAAUUGCGAAGGCAGCUCACUAAGCAGCGAUUGACGCUGAGGCACGAAAGCGUGGGGAUCAAACAGG